GGGCACGGGGGCGUGCCGUGCCAGCACGGGCACGAGGCAGGCCGGGCCGGGCCGUUUUCGGACCGUGUUUUCUCGUACCGUGCUCGUGCCGACCCGUUUAAAUCGGCCCGUUUGGCCAUCUAUAGGCCAAGAUGGAAAUGCAUGGCACUGUAGAGGAUAUCGGUUGUAGUUUGUUGGAGCUGAGAAGGGGUCGGCAAUUUGCCACGUGAGGGAUGCACACGAGCCAGUAGUGUCAAAAGCUAAUGGCACUGAUCGAGUACAGAGGGAAUUAAGCACCAUGUGGUUGUCAGCAUGCUGCAUGCAUGUAGAAUAAUAUACAUAUAUAAGCAGUGGCUAGAAUUGACCGGCAGACCGAUUCAUCCAUGCAUGAGGCUUAGUGUUGUAUCCUUCUCGAAAAAAAAAAAGAAAAAAAGCUAAGGGGUGUUAAAGUUUAAUAAAUAUUAUAGUAUUUUUAUUUUAUUUGACAGUCAGUGUCCAAUCAUGUAGACUAAUUAAGUUUAAAAGAUUUGUCUUAUAAAUUAUUCUUUAAUUAUGUUUUUAGUUUUAUAAAUAAUCUAUAUUUAGUACUUAUGUAUCUAAACAUUCGGUACGAGAGUUAAAAAAAUAGAAACAACUAAAUAGGGCCUAAGUGACAAAAAAACAUGCAGCUAGCUAGUAAGCUAUGUGAUCGGCGGAUCUGGCAACGCAUGCAAAAAGGCGGCCGGCCGGAUCGACCUGUCGAUGGCGAUGCGCACCAACGACGUCAGAUGACAGAUCCAUAUCCAUGGAUGCAUGAUGGGAUGGACGUACCACGUACGUGUACACGUACACGUCAUCUGCCGAUUGGACAAGCAUGCAUGCAUGCAUGCGACCUUGCAUUGUUGACACUAGAUCGUCGUGCAUGGGCGAUGGGCCAUUAUUUCCACUUCCGGUUGCCCCA
rnacentral:lncRNA from 1 species